rnacentral:rRNA from 1 species
UACGUAGGGGGCUAGCGUUGUCCGGAUUUAUUGGGCGUAAAGAGCGUGUAGGCGGCCAGGUAGGUCUGCUGUGAAAACUCGGGGCUCAACCCCGAGCCUGCAGUCGAUACGGGCAGACUAGAGUGCGGUAGGGGAGACUGGAAUUCCUGGUGUAGCGGUGAAAUGCGCAGAUAUCAGGAGGAACACCGGUGGCGAAGGCGGGUCUCUGGGCCGUAACUGACGCUGAGGAGCGAAAGCGUGGGGAGCAAACAGG